UUUUUUUUUUUUUUUUUUUCUUCUGGCUUCCGCGGCUAGCGAUGCGCCAAUGACAAAUCUUGAGUGAUAAAUCGUGAGUUAGUCUUCAAUAAUAAUUAUCUUUUCAUGUUGUUACUGUGCAGUCGUUAAAAACGAGGAAACUUUUCAAUAAUAAAAUAUACCGGAUAGGAACGGAAUUUGGAAAAGGUGAGGAUCAGGAGAGGAAUAAUAAUAAAAUAAUAAUAAAAAGAGGAAGUUAAAUUUUAAUAUCAUUAGUAUUAAUAAACAUACUUAAUAAACGAUAGACUGAAGGAUUAUUUGAAGAUAAAAGGAUCUGGAUAGAAGUAGGAAAAGGAAUGUGUAAAUGUGUAAGUCCCUGAAAAAGUUGAGCAUUAUCAUAUUUAGGACAAUUCAGGAAGAUGUGAUCCACAUCCUCCACCUCACCACACUCACAUAAAGCACUGUCCACUAUAUGAAAUUUAGCUAGAUGAGCAGACGUACAAACGUGACCUAAUCUCAUACGAGUCAGGAUGCACGAUGCCGUCUUGCCCAACAGCAACCGCGAGAACCAGGGUUUUGCAGGAAUUUCACGUUGGAUAGAUGCGAAAUAUUUUCCUUUUGUUUGAGAACUGACAGACCACACUUCCCUCCACGAAUCACGUAGAUACACUCUGGGUAGAGCAAGAAGGUCAUGAGGGUAGAUUUUAUAGUAAGCCAUAUCUCCACAAUCAAUGGCGUCAUUAGCAAGCCUAUCAGCCUGUUCGUUUCCACGGAUACCCCUAUGUCCCGGAAUCCAGGCAAAAAUAAUCGAAAAUCCCUUUGCAGCACACUGAACAAUCAUGUUUCUGGUUUCUAUUAUCAAUGGACUAAUAAGUUUUGUUUUAAAUAAAAAUUUAGAUAGAGAUUGUAGAGCGCUCAUUGAGUCUGAAAAGAUUAUAGUUUUCCUAAGUUUUGCUAAAAGUACAUACUCAACCGCUUUAUACAGACCAAAAACUUCACCAGUAAAAACAGAACUCUCAGGAGGUAAUUUAAUCUUUUGAACUAUAUCGUAUUGUGAGUGAUAUAUGCCAACACCUACUUUAUUAUCUGUGGAUCGUUUGGACGCAUCACUAAAAACAUGAUGCCAACUGUCAGUGCUAUUGUCAAAUUCCGUGUCUAGAACGAAAUUGAAAACAUUGGAUGCCUCAAAAGUUUGUUUAGUUAUACCCAAGUUUAAACGAACAUCAGGUUUAUAAACAAGGGCUUCAUAGUUUGAGGUGUAAAGAGGGAAACAUAUUGAGUUAUGAAUUGGCGUAUCAAUUGACAGUAAUUUUUGAUAACUAUUAAUUAAACAAGGAGUGCAUUUAUGAGUCCAGUAACUUGAGGAGUUGACUUCUUCAGAGAGGAUUUUUAGCUUGGUUAAAAGUGGGUGGUCACCUAGUUGUAAACAACGGUAUAAAUAACUAUCUGAAAGAAACUGCCGCCUCAGUUGUAAAGGGGGUUCAACACACUCGACUUGCAUUGCAUUAAUAGGGCUAGUCUUCAUUGCGCCCAGAACAAUCCUUAAAGCUACCGAUUGUAUUUUAUCUAGUUUAUUUAAAGCAGCAGCACUACAUGGUUCCAGCAAAAAAGAUCCAUAAUCAAUCACACUCCUGAUUAGUGCAUUAUAAAUGAUUCUCAGAGAAGUAGGAUGAGCGCCCCACCAUACACCUCUGAGGCAUUUAAUAAUAUUAAGAUUCCGUUCACAUUUAGCCUCAAUAUAAUUGCAAUGUGGGAUACCAGGGGAGAUCUCAUACGAGAAAAAAGCACUACAUUGCUUUUGGAAACGGAUAAUUCUAAGCCAUUAUCAUUCAGCCAACCCUUCAAUAUACCAAGAGAUGUUGUUUUUUAUCAGCAGCACUUCUACAAUUCCACUGUAGGAGUACCUGAUCCAUUAUUGGGAUUGAUAGACACAGUGUUUUCAAUUAGUUGGGCAACGUGGGACGGUAUAGAAUUGAGCAGAACCAUUUGGUGAAGAUAGAGGUAUAUCAUAAUCUUUUAUUAGAGAUGCAUGUGCAGCCCGGUCAUACCCAGCCGAAGGCGUAGGAGGAGCACGAGGCUUAAGGAAAACUGUUUUUUUAUAUGAGCUGGAAGAUGGGGACAAUCGAGCUGCUGGGUUAGCAGCCUCAUCUUGAGAUUGUUUAUGUUGCGAAGUUCUAAGAACGUCAGCAAAAGAUUUGGAGACAACGGGGUGUAAUUUGGAAGCCUCUAAAUAUGAGAUGCAGUUUUGAGCCAUUGACACUUUGAUAUUUUUUUGUCGGGAAAAUUCAGGACAAGCCUUACUAGUGGCAAAAUGAUAACCAGAACAAAGACAGCAUGAUCCAUCCUCUUGUUCUACUGAACAAGAUUCGGCAGUGUGACCUUGCCCACAUUUAUAACAGCGAGGCUUGGAGCGGCAUUGAGCCUUUGUAUGACCAAAACGGCAGCAGCUGUAACAUUGAAUGGUUGGAUAAAUGUACAAGUCGACAGUCAAUGGAGUAUAGCACAUAAACACACGUUUUGGUAGUACUUGUCCAUCGAAAGUUAAAACAACUGUUUCAGUGUUAGUAAAUUCUGGAGACCCAUUUAUAAUUUUUUUACUUUUAAUUCUCCUAGCUUUAAGAACUUUCCCACAUCCAAUGGGGACACUCACAUUAUCCAAAAUCUCAUCCUCAGGCCAGUCAGCAGGGACACCCCUGACAACACCCAUCCGUGUGAUAAUAAAGGUUGGAAUGAAAGCUCUCAAACUAUGGCUGGCAAGGCAAGGAUUUUCAAUAAAAGCGUUAGCAUCAGAAUAUGUGGAAAAGGCCAUGGAUAGUCUAUUUCUGCCGAUCCGUUUCAAGCUACCGUUCACUAUGUUUUUAAUCAUAUUUUUCUUUAGAACGCUGCCAAACUGAAUGGGAUGCAGUGAAACAGGAUCGUCAGGAGUAGACUGCUCCUUUUGAAUGUGCACCACAUAGGGUGCUAGGUCGGAAGAAACAUAUUUCCUACCAACUUGCUGUUGCUGCUGGGUUUGCUGAUUAGUUACUGUGACUGUUGGUGGUGGAGGUGGAGGAUCAGGUAUUGUUGAUAAAAGAGAAUUGUCUUCGUCAGAAUUGCAAUUGCACUUGUCUACACCCGAAACGUUUUUACUAUUUUUACUUUUGCGCUUUUUGUUGCAAUGUUUGCAAAUCUUUCUCAAGGGUCUUACACGUUUUCUGACUUGAGAGGAGCACCCGUCCUCCGUAUCCAUUGACGAAGUAUCGUCAACAAUAACUUCCAUCCCUACAUGAGGGACACGAUGACGAUCCCGGCCGCCACCGGGGUCGUCGGGGGGAUCAACCCCCAUAGUAAAAAGAAAAACUCACUUACCACUACACAGCAGCAAGUAUUUUAGAAGAAUAUAUAUAAAUAUGAAUUAACAGAUAAAAUAAUACAGAAAUACUCCACUGAACCCACACGAAAUCAAUUAAAUUAAAUUUUCACUAAAAAACACGACCGCCAAUUUCGGAAGUUUCCCGCGCUUUUCUCUGUGAUGUUUGUUUAUUAUA
rnacentral:misc_RNA from 1 species